UACAGAGGGUGCGAGCGUUGUCCGGAAUCACUGGGCGUAAAGGGCGCGUAGGUGGCGGCCCAAGUCUAUGGUGAAAGCUCGAUGCUCAACAUCGAGUCGGCCACGGAUACUGGGUUGCUCGAGCACUGUAGGGGCAGAUGGAAUUCCGGGUGUAGCGGUGGAACGCGUAGAGAUCCGGAAGAACACCGGUGGCGAAGGCGGUCUGCUGGGCAGUUGCUGACACUGAGGCGCGACAGCGUGGGGAGCAAACAGG
rnacentral:rRNA from 1 species